rnacentral:rRNA from 1 species
GAUGAACGCUGGCGGCGUGCCUAAUACAUGCAAGUCGAGCGAACAGACGAGGAGCUUGCUCCUCUGACGUUAGCGGCGGACGGGUGAGUAACACGUGGAUAACCUACCUAUAAGACUGGGAUAACUUCGGGAAACCGGAGCUAAUACCGGAUAAUAUAUUAAACCGCAUGGUUCAAUAGUGAAAGACGGUUUUGCUGUCACUUAUAGAUGGAUCCGCGCCGCAUUAGAUAGUUGGUAAGGUAACGGCUUACCAAGGCAACGAUGCGUAGCCGACCUGAGAGGGUGAUCGGCCACACUGGAACUGAGACACGGUCCAGACUCCUACGGGAGGCAGCAGUAGGGAAUCUUCCGCAAUGGGCGAAAGCCUGACGGAGCAACGCCGCGUGAGUGAUGAAGGUCUUCGGAUCGUAAAACUCUGUUAUUAGGGAAGAACAAAUGUGUAAGUAACUAUGCACGUCUUGACGGUACCUAAUCAGAAAGCCACGGCUAACUACGUG